GAGAAGAGUCUUUUUAGUCACGUCGUUGCCUUGCCUCUACACUACGCGUUUGCUCUUCCAUUCUCAGCAACUUCCACCAAAUAUCCUCUCUCUCUCUCUCUCUCUCUCUCUUCUGGGCGAAAAUGGCGAACCCUAAUCUGACCGAGAACGGUGUCCUCGACUCGUCGGCGCUGAUCUUUUUGGGGACCGGGUGUUCCAGCGCCGUCCCCAACGCGCGGUGCCUCAUCCAGCCCUCCGAUCCUCCUUGCGAGGUCUGCUUUCAGUCGUUGUCCGUACCGCCCGAUCGUAACCCUAAUUACAGGUGCAAUACAUCCCUUUUGAUUGAUUAUUUCCAUAGCGAUGGUAAUCACAGCUAUAUAUUGAUUGAUGUUGGGAAGACAUUUCGGGAGCAAGUACUCCGGUGGUUUACUGUCCAUAAGAUUCCUAGAGUGGAUUCUAUUGUUUUGACUCAUGAACAUGCUGAUGCAGUUCUUGGUCUGGAUGAUAUUCGUAUUGUGCAACCAUAUAGUCCUACAAAUGACAUUGAUCCCACUCCCAUAUACCUAUCCCAGCAUGCAAUGGAGAGUCUUGCAGUGAAAUUUCCUUACUUGAUUCCAAAGAAACUAAAAGAAGGUCAAGAAUUGAGACGGGUUGCACAGCUUGACUGGAAGAUAAUUGAGGAUGACUGUGAGAAACCAUUUGUUGCAUCAAGCCUAAAAUUUGUUCCUUUGCCAGUUAUGCACGGAGAAGAUUACAUCUGUUUGGGUUUUCUCUUUGGUGACAAGUCUAGAGUAGCUUAUAUAUCUGAUGUUUCACGCUUUCCUGCAAGCACAGAGUAUGUUAUUUCAAAAAGUGGGGCUGGACAGUUGGAUCUUAUUAUAUUGGAUACACUAUAUAAGGAAGGAUCCCAUAAUGUCCACUUUUGCCUCCCACAGACCCUUGAAGCUUUGAAGAGGAUAUGCCCUAAGCGAGCCCUGUUAAUUGGAAUGACUCAUGAGUUUGAUCAUCACAAGGACAAUGAAUUUCUAAUGGAAUGGUCUAUAAGGGAAGGAAUCUCUGUGCAGCUUGCGCAUGAUGGUUUGAGAAUACCCAUAGACCUAUGAUAAGCUGAAGUAGCCAAAGAAGACCCGGCAAGUCACCAUGACCAACUGUACCUUUAAACAAUUUCCUCAUCAAAGUUUCGAGUAUUCAUUGGCUUUUCUUGCUCUCCUUGGUUCAUUUAGGAGAGACGGAAGCUUCAAAGAAAAUAAGCAAAGGAAGCUGAGACUGAGACUCAGAGAGAAAAAGAAUGGCUUGCUUUGUGCCUUUUAACAAUAGAAAUUUGGAUGUAUGCCUUUUCAUCUUCAGGCCAACAGUAGUAUUGGUUGAUGAAUUUAUUGACGCCCUCAAACAAUUCUCUUUAUGCACUGAGACUCUUGGUUGUGUACAAAACUCUAUUUUCAAGAGCAUUCAUGGAAAUAUGAUUAUAUGGUAUGGAGCAUGGCUGAAGAGAUCUUGUGAAAACAAAGAAUCAUUAAGUACUAGCCUUGUCUCAAUGUUAACCAAUAUAUCAAGCAUGGCUAUCUUAGUUGAGCAUAGCUUCUUUGAUGCAUAUGCUGGAGAAUCAAGAGAUGGCUUCUCAGCCGUAAGGUUUUCCACUGGUGACACAAUAUCUAUGAAUGCAGCAAUGACCUCUGAUGGUGGAGACCUAAAUGACCUUUCUUAUGCAUGCUUAGCAUUAUUCAAAUCUCGCUUUCUAAAGAUGGAAGGUGUUGCUGCUGGAGUUUGCUUGAAAUGCCAAAGCAGCCCAAGAGUGGCAUGUCUUUAUGUGUGGAAGUCUCUCCAAUUUUGUUACUCAUGGAUUUUAAACUCGGAUCAUAGAAGUUCAAUGCUGCUGCCUUAUCUUGAUCGUCUUUCUCUCGAAUUUAAGUAUGACAUCUUUAAGGUAGUCUAUGUUAAUGGUGACAAUGUACAAAAUUUUCAGUCUUUAUCUCCUGUCGAAAUGUUAGAGAAUGGAGGAGAAAGCAAAGAAGGGCAGAUCAUGCAAAAUUGAGUAAUGCUCCCAAGGAAUAUGCAUGUUAAGUUGUCUCCCCUUUACUUUAGCAUGCUUUAUGCUAUGUAAAUGAAUCAUUCUGGUUUUAUAAAGUGAAGGAAUUUAUGGCGACCUUAAUACCA